GAUCUGGCUCAGGAUGAACGCUAGCGACAGGCCUAACACAUGCAAGUCGAGGGGCAUCAGGUAUCAGCUUGCUGAUACGCUGGCGACCGGCGCACGGGUGAGUAACGCGUAUGGAAUCUGUCUGUAACAGGGGGAUAACCCGGAGAAAUUCGGACUAAUACCCCAUGCCGCCGGUUUUUUGCAUGAAAGGCCGGCGAAAGGGUAACCGGUUACAGGUGAUCAUGCGUUCCAUUAGCUGGUUGGCGGGGG
rnacentral:rRNA from 1 species